rnacentral:tmRNA from 1 species
GGGGCCGACUGGUCUCGACGGCAUGCUGGAGGGUCUGGAAGAGCGAGCCGAGGACGUUCGAACCUCGUUAAAAGCGGACAAAAAGACAAACGUCAACAACAAUAACUACGCUCUGGCUGCUUAGUGCAGUCACGUCCUACGCGGGGGCAACCGUCACCUCUUCGUAGGGCGACACAAAAGGACGGAUGCUUCUCGGAGAGUGCCUUCGGCUCCGGGGAAAAGACAAGGAGGAUUGGGCGACGAAAUCCCGUUCCCGGGAGUUCCGAGCCGACACUAAAUCGGGAACUACGCUCGUAGCGCUGCCAUGACCGGCCCUUGUCGGACGGGGGUUCGAUUCCCCCCGGCUCCACCA